rnacentral:rRNA from 1 species
UACGUAGGGUGCGAGCGUUGCCCGGAUUUACUUGGGCGUGAAAGGCGCGUAGGCGGCCACGCACGUCCGUUGUGAAAUCGCCCGGCUCAACUGGGCGGGGUCAGCGGAUACGGUGUGGCUCGAGCAAGCUAGGGGGCAAUGGAAUUCCCGGUGUAGAGGUGAAAUUCGUAGAUAUCGGGAGGAACACCAGUGGCGAAGGCGGCGACCUGGGCCAAUAUUGACGCUGAGGUGCGAAAGCGUGGGGAGCAAACAGG